UCAGUGUUCACAUCACUCACCCUCGCAGUGACAGUGUCGGCAUCCGUUUGAGGUCUUUUUCUCCACUUAGUAAAAUAAAGACCUGUCCGCCCUGAUUUCCAUCUCUGGGGCCUGGGCACCGAAGCUAUAAAGAAUCCUGUAAAAAGAAGUCUGGAUCGGACCACAGGAUGGCGGCGAGAAGAAUAUGAGAAGUUUUUCUAGUCCAAAGAAAGCAAUGGACAAGCAAUGUGUGGUUUGAAACAUUGAGGAAGAAUCCACAGCGUUGUCGACACUGACCCUCCCCCCUCUGCAGACAAAGAAGAUUAACCAACAAACUUGGACGUGUUCCCUUCAUCUGCUUCCACGUCUUCAUUCUGUAUGCCACCUGCUUCCACAUCCAGCAUGUCUCGGCAGCCUGUGCUCAAAAAGAACAUUUUCUUGUUGAAAGCUCUCGCUAUACUCAGUGUUUUUAAUUCCAUUUGUUUUAAGGUUAAUGUUGGUGUUUAUUUUUCCUAUACAGAUCAUGACUGAGCACUUUGGUUUCAAAUAUUAUAUUGCAUUCAACGGGUGGAAGACAAUACGUGAUUCGUCCGACAACGUGACCUACGUUGGUGUUGACUGGUUAAGGCUAUGUCUACACUAAGCCGGAUAACCCCUUAAAUGAAUAAUUAUUCAGCCUAAGCCUAAACCAUCGUUUAAGGUCCCCCUCCUCGGACAAUUUUGUUUACACGGGUAAGUGCACCGCGUAUUUUUUGAAUCUCCAGCUCUUAGAUUUGUAUGGAAUCAUUAAUCGUUUACAAACUGAGUUCGGAGAGGAAGUGGCGCCAGAAAGAAUGGGCCACAGCUAGCUUCAUAAUAAAGUGGUUUCGUAGCUCGGAGCUAACCACUGGAAAUAUGGAGGCGAGACAUGCCCGUGUUUCUCCUUUCGUCAGUACAGACGCUUGUGGAAAUCCCACAUGAAUACCUUGAGAGAAAGCGAUUGCAGCUAUUUUGGAUACAACACUUCUCAGACAGCAAGAGAACUUUCCAAUGUCCAGGUCAGCUGUGAUUCUAUUUACCAAAUAACUUUGUCCAUUUGUUGAAGGAGAGUCAACAAGAAUGCGGGCUCCCGUGGAUGUGAUAAAAAGGUAGCGUGUACUUUGUAUUUCCUGGCCAUCAAGGGAAGACUCUGGAAAACUUUUGGACUGGCAAAGCAGACUGUAUCAGUUUUUGUCCACCAUGUAUGUCGCGGACUCAACUUCUAGGUCCAGAGUAUAUGAAGUCACCAAAAACGAAUGGACAAUGAAGGUGAAGGCAAAAGAGUGAGGAGUGUCUUGACCAGAUAUUUAGAUCCCUAGAUUGAUUGAUGUAAA